GCCGUGGGUGGGAUCACCUUGCUACCGCGGUGAAAUCGAAGGGGCUGAUCUUCACAAGGAUUUUGCAUUAAGGCCAAUGUGACCUUCUUGCCAAAUGAUUGUUGAAGACUACAGCUAACAAAGUGUUCUGGGGGGCUAUCAAGUGUCUCCAAGGCAGCAGCUGCCCAUUGGCUGGAGAGGAAAUCAAACGUUUAUCCACUGCUACCUUUGCCUGUGGAUGGUAAAAAGG
rnacentral:lncRNA from 1 species